rnacentral:rRNA from 1 species
CUGCAGCUCAAGUGGUGACCGCUAUUAUUGGGCCUAAAACGUUCGUAGCCGGCUGAGUAAAUGCUUGGGUAAAUCGUGCCGCUUAACGGUACGAAUUCCGGGUAGACUACUCAGCUUGAGACCGGGAGAAGCUAGAGGUACUCCUGGGGUAGAGGUGAAAUUCUGUAAUCCUGGGGGGACCACCAGUGGCGAAGGCGUCUAGCUAGAACGGGUCUGACGGUGAGGGACGAAACCCUGGGGCGCGUACCGGAUUAGAUACCCGAGUAGUCC